rnacentral:tRNA from 1 species
UUCAGUCCUGGCGAGCGGGACGGCUCGGCGGCCGUCCCGGCGGCCGCUGCGCCUGGUCCGGCGCAGGCCGGCGGUUCCAUCCCCCGACUGCUG